AUACCGGCUUGCCUCAUCGAGCCUAACGAUGCCCUCGUCGUCUUGGUGCCCGAGAAGAAAAACUCAAACAAGAAAGGUCCUAAGGACAGAUAUUCUAGUAGGUUUUCUGAACCAUUCUAUACUAGAAUUAUGUCAAAUGGGGAGCAUUGCGAUAGAGAUUGUCUUGUCUAUUCUAAGGACCUCAAUAGACUAUUUUGCUUUGCUUGUAAAUUAUUUACAAAAGGGCAUAGAAAAGGUCAGUUGGCAAACGAGGGGUGUGAUGAUUGGGUACAUCUUGGCAAUACACUUAAAGAGCAUGAGACAAGUGUAGAUCAUGUUUUGAAUAUGACCACUUGGUAUGAGCUCUGUACUACUAGAUUGCAAAAGCAUCAAACUAUUGAUAAAGAUGCUCAAGGACAACUUGAGAAUGAAGAGCACUGGAGAAAAAUUUUGUUCAGGAUUGUUUGCAUUAUUAAAUUUCUUGCCAAGCAUAAUCUAGCCUUCCGUGGUAGUAACAGCAAACUGUAUGAAAACAGCAAUGGGAAUUUCUUGGGUCUGGUAGAGAUGUUGGCUGAAUUUAACACAUUUAUUCAACAAGAGCAUGCUUUUAUUACAAAUGAAGAAACUCAUGCUCAUCAUCUUGAUCAUAAGAUUUAGAAUGAGUUGAUACACUUGUUUGCUUCGGCUAUUAAGUUUGAGAUUUUUAAGAAAAUAAAGAGUGCAAAAUAUUUCUUGGUCAUACUUGAUUGUACCCUGAUGCAAGCCACCAAGAACAGAUAUCUUCAAUUGUUAGUGCUAGAGAAUGAACUUAAGCUUCUUGAUCUUGAUAUAGAUAAUGUGAGAGGACAAGGGUAUGAUAAUGGGUCAGAUAUGAAAGGAAAACAUCAUGGGGUACAAAGGAGAGUUUUGAAUGUAAAUCCUAGAGCUGUCUAUUCUGCUUGUGGUUGCCAUAGCCUUAAUUUAACACUUUGUGGUAUCAUCCAACACAUUUGUGUAACUUUCGCAAUUUUUACGAAGAAAUGCAAUUCUGAAAGAUAA
rnacentral:rRNA from 1 species